rnacentral:rRNA from 1 species
CCUACGGGGGGCAGCAGUGGGGAAUAUUGGGCAAUGGACGCAAGUCUGACCCAGCAACGCCGCGUGAAGGAAGAAGGCUUUCGGGUUGUAAACUUCUUUUAAGGGGGAAGAGCAGAAGACGGUACCCCUUGAAUAAGCCACGGCUAACUACGUGCCAGCAGCCGCGGUAAUACGUAGGGGGCAAGCGUUAUCCGGAUUUACUGGGUGUAAAGGGGGCGCAGACGGCAGCGCAAGCCAGGAGUGAAAGCCCGGGGCCCAACCCCGGGACUGCUCUUGGAACUGCGCGGCUGGAGUGCAGGAGGGGCAGGCGGAAUUCCUGGUGUAGCGGUGAAAUGCGUAGAUAUCAGGAGGAACACCGGUGGCGAGGGCGGCCUGCUGGACUGCGACUGACGUUGAGGCCCGAAAGCGUGGGGAGCAAACAGGAUUAGAUACCCCAGUAGUC